rnacentral:misc_RNA from 1 species
GAUGAAGAACGCAGCGAAAUGCGAUACUUGGUGUGAAUUGCAGAAUCCCGUGAACCAUCGAGUCUUUGAACGCAAGUUGCGCCCGAAGCCAUCAGGUUGAGGGCACGUCUGCCUGGGCGUCACAUAUCGUUGCCCAAUGCCUAUUGCAGUGCAAUAGGAAUUUCUAGGGCGAAUGAUGGCUUCCCGUGAGCGUUGUUGCCUCGCGGUUGGUUGAAAAUCGAGUCCUUGGUAGGGUGUGCCAUGGUAGAUGGUGGUCGAGUUAGAACGAUACCGAUCAUGUGCAUGCUCCCCAACAUAUGGCCUCUAUGACCCACACGCGUCUUUUGACGCUCAUGACGAGACCUCAGGUCAGGCGGGGCUACCCGCUGAAUUUAAGCAUAUCAUAAGCGGAGGA